rnacentral:rRNA from 1 species
AUUGAACGCUGGCGGCAGGCCUAACACAUGCAAGUCGAGCGAGCGGCGGACGGGUGCGUAAUGUCUGGGAAACUGCCUGAUGGCGGGGGAUAACUACUGGAAACGGUAGCUAAUACCGCAUACCAUCAGAUGUGCCCAGGUGGGAUUAGCUAGUGGGUGGGGUAACGGCUCACCUAGGCGACGAUCCCUAGCUGGUCUGAGGGGAUGACCAGCCACACUGGAACUGGGACCCGGUCCAGACUCCUACGGGAGGCAGCAGUGGGGAAUAUUGCCCAAUGGGCUCAAGCCUGAUGCAGCCAUGCCGCGUGUGUGAAGAAGGCCUUCGGGUUGUAACGCACUUUCAGCGGGGAGGCGUUACCCGCAGAAGAAGCACCGGCUAACUCCGUGCCAGCAGCCGCGGUAAUUC